rnacentral:tRNA from 1 species
UAGGGGGAGAUAUUAAGUUUCCUUUACAACGAAAUGUAGCCUUAGGCCCCCCUAA